GCAGGUGUGUGCACUCACGGUGCUGACGUGUGUGCGCGUAUGUCCGUGGGUCCUGAUGAGUGCGUGAGUGCAGGUGUGUGCGCCCACGGUGCUGACGUGUGUGCACGUAUGUCCGUGGGUCCUGAGUGCGUGAGUACAGGUGUGUGCACUCACGGUGCUGACAUGUGUGCACGUAUGUCCGUGGGUCCUGAUGAGUGCAUGAGUGCAGGUGUGUGCGCCCAUGGUGCUGACGUGUGUGCACGUGUGCCCAUGGGUCCUGAUGAACAUGUGAGUGCAGGUGUGUGCGCCCACAGUGCUGACGUGUGUGUGCACUCCAUUUUCACGCUGCUGAAGAAGAUAUACCCAAAACUGGGAACAAAAAGAGGUUUAAUUGGACUUACAGUUCCACAUGGCUGGGGAAGCCUCAGAAUCAUGGCGGGUGGUGAAAGGCACUUUUUACAUGGCAGCGGCAAGAGAAAAAAUGAGGAGGAAGCAAAAGCAGAAACCCCUAAUAAACCUAUCAGAUCUCAUGAGACUUACUCACUAUCACGAGAAUAGCACAGAAAAGACCAGCCGAUGAUUCAAUUGCCUCCCCUGGGUCCCUCCCACAACACAUGGAAAUUCUUGGAGAUACAAUUCAAGUUGAGAUUUGGGUGGGGACACAGCCAAAGCAUAUCACCGUCUCUACUAAAACUACAAAAAUUAGC
rnacentral:lncRNA from 1 species